UACGGGGGGGGCAAGCGUUGUUCGGAAUUACUGGGCGUAAAGGGCUCGUAGGCGGCCAACUAAGUCGGACGUGAAAUCCCUCGGCUUAACCGGGGAACUGCGUCCGAUACUGGAUGGCUUGAGUGUGGGAGAGGGAUGCGGAAUUCCAGGUGUAGCGGUGAAAUGCGUAGAUAUCUGGAGGAACACCGGUGGCGAAGGCGGCAUCCUGGACCGGCAUUGACGCUGAGGCGCGAAAGCCAGGGGAGCAAAGCGGG
rnacentral:rRNA from 1 species